rfam:Cavia porcellus supercont2_34 genomic scaffold, whole genome shotgun sequence.
AAGAUGAAGCAAGUGAUAAAGACUGGAACUAACAGUGUAUGCCUUAUUCAAUCCGGUCCUUGUUUCAUUUU